GUCCGUGUAGCUUACCCUUAAAGCAUAGCACUGAAAAUGCUAAGACAGACCUUAAAAAGUCUCUCGAACA
rnacentral:tRNA from 1 species